rnacentral:rRNA from 1 species
AUUGAACGCUGGCGGCAGGCCUAACACAUGCAAGUCGAGCGGAUGAAGGGAGCUCGCUCCUGGAUUCAGCGGCGGACGGGUGAGUAAUGCCUAGGAAUCUGCCUGGUAGUGGGGGAUAACGUCCGGAAACGGGCGCUAAUACCGCAUACGUCCUGAGGGAGAAAGUGGGGGAUCUUCGGACCUCACGCUAUCAGAUGAGCCUAGGUCGGAUUAGCUAGUUGGUGGGGUAAAGGCCUACCAAGGCGACGAUCCGUAACUGGUCUGAGAGGAUGAUCAGUCACACUGGAACUGAGACACGGUCCAGACUCCUACGGGAGGCAGCAGUGGGGAAUAUUGGACAAUGGGCGAAAGCCUGAUCCAGCCAUGCCGCGUGUGUGAAGAAGGUCUUCGGAUUGUAAAGCACUUUAAGUUGGGAGGAAGGGCAGUAAGUUAAUACCUUGCUGUUUUGACGUUACCAACAGAAUAAGCACCGGCUAACUUCGU